rnacentral:misc_RNA from 1 species
GCAAGAAAAAUAAUUUCGUAUGAAUUUAUAUAUACCAUGGAAAAACUACAUGUACAAAUGAUACAAGACUGAAUAACUCUUGUAUUUUUCAUUCACUAUAUCAAAAAAGAUUAAAAAAAAAAAAAAUUAUGGCCAAAAAUGGACAGCUCAAGCUGCAGAGAUUUGCAUCUUCAAUCUCAAUGGCCGCAAACUACAACUCAAUUGAAUAAAAAACCGUAACUACCAGUGGAAACAAGACACUUAUGAACAGAAUGUUGUUCCACUGGUCAAAUACAUAUGUUACACCCACACGCUGUGAACUGUAAGUUCAGCAAUUGAUUUGGUACCUGCACUGGAGUAAUCCAUUCCGUCGUGUACAUUCUAUUGAUGUCCUGGUAGUAUUGCGCAUCUCCUGUAAUCCUUCUUCAACUAAUCAAACCGCAGCGGCCUAAACCUAUGACUUUAUAAGGGGGCUCAGCCCUUCUCCUUCCCAACCAAGCUUGAGCAUCUGAUCUACCACUUUCAAGCUCAAAGCUGGAUCAGUGAAGAUUAUCAACUGCUUAUCUGCAGUUGACACCAACAGAUUUGUGUUAUCAUUGUUUAAAGCCAGAGCUGUAAUAUCCUGGCCUUCUUCAAGCUUCAAUACAUGAAAUACCUUCAGCGUAAGCAGAUCCAAGAAACAUACUGAGGGGCUAGGCACAUCCAAUCUGUUCUCCUCCCCAGUUUUCUCGGAUUCCAGUUCAAAAUCCUCAGCUCCUGGUUUCUUUAUACUGAAAUUAUUAUUACAGUUACACGUGUUCAUUCCAAUCAAAGCACUCUUCCCAUCAACAGAAAUUUCUAUGCAACUGACAAUGCUAGAGAAAGGAAGUUGCGCUCUAGCAAUUGGUACCCCAUUAAGAGUAAAGGUACAUAGAGUAUGUUGAGAUUUGUUCCAAGUCAACACAACCCCCUCAGAUGAAAGGCUAACAGCAUGGGCCUCCACACCAGCCAGUCUUCUGAUCAAACGACCCCUCCUCACAGAAUGCAAUAGAACAUCAGAUGAAAGAGAGCAGGAAACAACAAUCCCAAGAUCUGAACUGACACAACAACAUAGUAUUUCUCUGUGGUGACCCCGAAGGACAUGUAUUGGACCCUCAAUACGAUGCCUCCUGCUUUUGUCUGCAAAGACAUUUGCUGCAGUACUACUGGUUGAAGUUGGAGUGCCUGCACCUGAGGAAGGUUCUGACAUACUGCUCGAAUGUGAUGUAAAUGCCCUAUGUAUCUUCCAGAGUAAUACAGUAGUGUCCCGUGAUCCUGUGACAAGAUAGUUGCUAUCUGGGGAAAGAGCAAGGCAAGUGACAGGAGCACAAUGCCCAAUGGCUGUUUCUAAGGUUUUUGCUCCAUCUGAUGACACCAGCUUGAUACUAUUAUCCACAUGCCCACCAGUGAUGAUUUCAUUAUCACAUGUGAUGGAAACAACAGCUGUACUUCUGAUUCCAGAUGCAGCAAAUGCUAUUGCCUGGGGGAAAUGCCACUCAUCAGUACCUGACCCAGCUGGCCCUUUGAAUAUGCGCAUGAAUGUUCCACUGGCAGAACUAGCUGCAGCUUUUCCAUGUUGAAAAAGGAAAGGUGCACCCUGCCCAUCUGGGGUGUUGGGUUGCCACUUAUGCUGUGCAACAUGUGCCGCUGGUGCAUUUAUAUCAGCGAUUAUAACGGUAUCCAAAUGUGCAUGAAUGGCAGCAGCAGGUAGAUUGCAGCGCUCAGGGCCUGGAACAGCAUAUGGUUUGACUUCUUUUGGGUUUCGAAAUAUAGUCUGCAAAUGGAGAACAUCAGCUAAUGGCUUCUUCUUCAAGUGAGGAACAGUCAGAAGUUGGGAUGGGGUCUGUCCAAAGUAUGCAAUCUGGUCUUGUGUAGCUCGUUGUUGUACCUUUUGUGGAUAGAUACAAAGAACAUGAAAACAAGGAACAAUACCAUAAGGGUCCAUUCAAAUAAGUGAGCAUUUCAAAUAAAGGUAGAUUUUUUGAGUUUCAAGUGAAAAAAAUUAUUAUACCAGUACAAAGUCAAAUUCAAAUUCCCCUUCAUUGGAAAUCCUUAUCCAUCCAAAUGAAUCCUAAAUUAAAACACUUGUAGAAUAACAGAGAAAACUUACUGGAUCUGAGAUCUUAUCUAUAUCUACUGUCCCUUCAUAGGUAAUGUAAAAGAAAACAUUAUUUGCCAGUAUAGCUUCUUUACCACGUUGCUUAUACCCAAAUAUGAGAUCAAUCCAUUCAUGCAAAUGCUCAGAUACAUGCUCACUCUCAAGAGCCAUCCGAUGCUUAUGGAUGAAAUCAACUGGGUUUUCAGCCCAAGGAGGAAGUUUGACAGAAUCAAGCUUUCCUCCUAACUGCGUCAUGCCAAAGUCAACUGAAUUUUCAUUGGUUAAGAUCUCAGGGAGAUAAAACAACUCGGGAACCAAUUCCUUCACAUCACUCAUGUCCUCAAUAACUCCAUUCCAAGUAGCAGCAACAUCUGAAAACAUCCGAUCUGCAUGAUCAAAUUUUCCACCUUGCAGUUGAAUUGAAAGGGUUGUAUAUGGUUCUACUCUAACAAGAUAAUAUAAUACUGUCCCAGCGCUUGAAUAAUGAGAACCAUAAUGAAACUUUGGGAUGAUAGGAUCAUCAAAGCUAGAAUAUCUUUCUUGAAAUUUUUUUAGCCGAUCAGGAUUCAAUGCACCAACAGGCUUUGAAAGAUCUCGAUAAGAAGAAGGAUCAGAAAGAUCCAAUUUCUUUGAACAGUAAUCAGAAAGAAUCCAAGGGAAUACUGGAUACUGAGUUAUAUCAUUAUAACUACGUCCAGCCAGAGUAUUAAGCUGCAUGAGAUAUUCAAAAUUGCUGAUCUCCCACCUAGCCCAGCGUUCCAUAAGUUGAGUUCUCUUCAGAAGUUGUUCAGGUCUCUGAGUUGCUAGAUAAAUAUUGUUCAAAUGAGGAGGACGUAAUUGAACAAUUGCUCGGUAAGCAUUUCUUCUCCCCUCAGUACACCCAAAAUCAAAGAAGAAGUUUGACCGGUCAACCAAAAAAAGUUCCAGAGCACUUCUUCUAAGAAGAUAUCUUCGGCUAUAAAUCUGAUGGAGGGAAGAAAUCAACCAGCUGUGAUCUUUUUCUUGGUCUCUUGAUUCAGAAGAUUCCAUUCCAUCCACAGCAUUGCUUUCAGUGGCAUCAACUAUAAAAUUUAUCCUUCUAGAUGUUACUUGAAAUGUUCCUCGCACAACCAUUAGAGGCCGGACCAUAGACGAUGGAAGUUCAAGAACAAUCCUUUCAUCAAGGUCACCAGGAACAUAUCCUGGUGCAACUGCUGAUGUACUUUCUAAGUCUUGGUCACCAGCAUGUUGAGCAUCACUUGAUUCUGCAGAUGGCUGCAGGUUUUCAUCGGUUGUUUCCAAUGGUCUUGGCUGACUCUCUCCACUCUGUUCUGCGUCAUAGGCAUUACCAUCUAAAAUAUCAAUUUCUGCAUGUUCAUCAUCCUCAUUUACUCCUUCCAUUGAGAUUGCUUCCGCUGCCAGAACAGGAACAUUCCCUUGAUCAUGUUUCCUCUCAAUUUGAUCCUCGUAAUUAGCAGCAGCACCAAAAUGAUCAGACCCCCUAUAAUACCUCUUCAAACAUCUUCUCAUCCUUGAAGAACUUUCCAUAAAGUCUAGCUUCCAAAAGACACGUUUGGGACUGCACAAGUGGCCCCCAAGUGGCCCAAAAAGACACUUCAUCUCUAUCAAGCAACGGAUAAGUUUCCGCCAUGCACGAAUACCACUAGAUAAAUGAUGUUGAGCUAUUACAUCAACUUGAGCACGCCUAUCAACCUCUGAUCGCUGCAUGUUUCUAGCUAAAGCAAAACUUGCAACAAGGACUGCAAUAAAUUUAUAAGAUACAGCAUUGAAAUCUUUCCCAUAGACUGAUCUUGUGUCAAAUGGUUGCAUACAUUCCAUCCAGGCGACUCCCAUGGCUUCAGUAGUAUUCCAUCUCUUCACACGCUCCAUGUCACUGGCAUUUCUUCGUUGAGCAGAUGUGGCCAUUGCAACUGCACUAAGGCCUCUUCCAGAACCGAUCUUAGCAUUACGUUCAAGAUCACGUGCUGCAGCCAAUGCCGCAGCUUUUGCUGCGGCCUUAUCCUUCGGAAGUGCUGGUGUUUUGUUAGUCAUCUCUAAAGGUUUUUGGAAACUUGAAAAGGUAUGUAGUCUAGUUGAUUUCCGCUCAAGCAAGGAAGAGUCACGCUUAAGUUGUGCAGUAGUUGUAGGAGCUGAGAUUUCCCCACCUGCAGCACCAGCAGCAAUCAUUGCCAAUGCCAUAGCAGCUGGUGGUGAAGCAAAUGCAGCUGCCCAAGCCGGAGAGAUCAUGGAGAGAGCAGCCUCUAAAGGAAGUGCAUCUGCAGCUAAAGCAGGAUCAUCAACAGUAAGAGGAUUUAAACCAUCAGCAAUAGCAAGCUCAUGAAUCCCAGCAAGAAGUGGCCGCCACCUCCGCAACACAGCAACAAAAGGCGGUAAAAUAGCCUCAAGGUAGCGUUUACGAAUAGGUUUUCUGUCUCUGCUAACAGCAUGCCAUAUCUCAGAAAAAAGAACACAAGAUGCAACCAAAACUCUCUGUCUCUUUGAAUCAGAAAUGGGCAUAUUUAGAACAGGUGAAAGUACACUCCACAACAAGGCUGACCUUGGUUCUCUCAUCGACAUUCUAGCAAUAUUUUCCACAGACAUAGUUCCUUCUGACGCCCCAUCCUUUAUGCUUACAUUCCUCAUGAGCAUAUUGGUUUCACCAUCAUCUUCCUCCCUCAUUGACAGAAGAACCAUACGGAGCAUGCAUAAGAAUGGCUGAUCACUGUCCAAUAACUGGUAUAGUAAUGCCAUUCCUCCCAUUCCAGUUCCUGAUCCUCCACCUAUACCAAGACCACCACCAAGUCCAGACUCAUCUAACAGUAAAGCUUGGAGCAUGGAAACUGACUUCUUCACCAAAGGAAGUUCAAUCCAGUUUCCAUUUGCAUCUUUUUCCAAAGCAGACCUCCAAGAUUCCCAGCCACUUCCGCCACCACCAAAGUCAGCUGUUUUUGAAGGAAGGCCAACACCAUACCACAACCUGCUCCUAUAUUUCCAACCCUCAGAUAAAUCCAUACAAAUGCUCCCAUAUGAUACAAAAGCACAAGAAACAGACUCAUAAGGUUCAGCUGAUGCUGCUGCUGUGAGUCGUUCCAUCACAGCAGCUGAAAUUUGCCCAUUUGCAUCAGCCAUUGAAGCAAGGACACCAAGAGGUAGUCCCCCAGAGUCAUUGGAUCUGCGAUCACCUAGAGAUUCAAAUGAAUCCCGACCAGUUGAUGUCAAUGAACUUGAACGAUUAUUCAGGGGAAAUACAAGGGAUAGGGGAGAUGGGGAACUAUCAACAACACGUGACGCACAAGAGAGCUUGCUCUGUAACCGUAAAUGAUCUUCAACAAGCAUUAAAAUGACAAUAGCAUUUUCAACCAAUGCCACAGAAAGCUGAGCAGCAUUUUCUGCUUCUGCCUUAGCCUCUUUUGGUGAUAAACCCUCAGCCGCAACACCAGCAGCUGCUGCAGCAAUAACUUGAGUCUGAACCUGCAGUUCUCUUGCAGCAAAAUCCAAUAAGCCACUCAAAAGCCUUCUUUUAAAUAUAGGGAGCGAUUCUUCACGUCUAACUCGCUGGUCUCCUGUGCUAGAUCCCCCCACAAUAGAAAGCCAUUCUGCACAAUGAAUAGUUGCUUCAAUAUCCUUCCAACCAUCCUUCUGCCGCAUUGAAUACUCUAACAUUAUAAUCAAGAAGUUGUGCACGAGGUCCUCAAUGUCCCCUAAGCUUGCCAAAUUAGAAUCUACCAUCACACCCUUCUCAUAAUUAGAGAUCAGAACCUCUAGAAUCCACUCAGGCCAUUCCUCCAUUUUUGUAAGACUGCUUCUGUUUUCUGGAUGACUGCAAGCCAAAAACAGAAGAUCCUGCAAUGCCCUGCUUUGCAAAGCCCUAGAUGCAUAAGGUAGUGAAUGCAAAAGAACCAACAAAACUUGUGAAUGUUCAAAGCGAUGACCAGAAUCAUAGAAGUUCAGCCCAUCCUCUGCUGAAGAAGCAUUAAUCGAGGCUGCCAAUAAAGCUGUGUAUAUGUUAGUAGUCAUAAGCCUCCUUGGUGCUGCUUGGAAAGCCUUCUGCAAUGCAAAAAGUAGAAGAGAAACUUUAUCAUCAAACAUUGAACCGCCUCCUUCUUGUAGUCCACCACCCAAAAAGUUGCUUGUCAUAUCUGAGGGUGUACAUGAGUCAAAUUUCACAUGCCCAGAUGUUACUAGAGCACCUAGUAGCCCAAUGAUUGCAACAAUAACACCAUCACUUUUGUCAACAUUGCAAACAUUAUUUCUUGCAUUAUCAGCACUAAUUGAAAGACUGAUACCGCCCAAAUUCUUAAUAUAAGGAUUUUCAGACACAGAUGACACCCUUUCAAUUCUUCUACUAGUGGAAGAAGCAGCAGGGCUGCCACCACCCUCAGAUGGUUCAGAUUCACAAUCCUUCUCAUUUGAAGUAAAAUUCCUUGCUUCAUUAUUCUGAUUCUUUUCUGGAACCUCAUUGCCUCCAUCUGGUUCACUUUCCUCAACAGACAAGCUAUCAUCACUCUUUGUCACCAAUUCUGGAAUACUAUGAUCACCAGCUUUAGCUUCCCGUUGCAGCAGAACUAGAAGUGUUUCUAUCCCACCACAUGUUAUGAAUGCCUCUGCAAAUGUGUGAGCCCUAGCUGUAUUUGGCUGUACUAUGAGCCUGUAUAUCAGAUGCAACACCCUGGCAAUCUGAUUUGGUUGAGGGCAAUCAACAAUAAAACCAAGUAGACAGCGGAGAUCAUCAGCAGCUGAUGAAGGAGGUGCUGCUCCUAUUAGAAGUUCAAUGAUCACUAAGAGUUCAUCAACCAGAGCAUUUAAUUCACCCAUGGGAGGUACUGCCUCAUCCAUUGAAAAAGUAUUCACAGAGUCCUUCUCACGAAUUGUCCAAUAGCAUCUUCUGCAGCCAUCAAGAAGCAUCUGAAUAGCAUUGGCAUCUCGCAUUACCAAUGACUCUGAGAAAACCAUGUCUGCUAGUGAUGAUAGAAGUUUCUUUUGCAGUCCAUAGUUGCAUAAGCUCCAAAUUUUGAGAUCCAAUAACAGUGUACUAAAAAGUUGCACUUUGAGUGCAUGAUUAUGCUUCUGCGAUUGGCAUAAGGAGACAACAGCUGCAACAAGUUCCUCAUCUCCUAUGCCAUUAUGUUUUUCAGUACCCAACAAAGAUAAAGUUUGAAGAAGAUAGUUCAAGAUUUUUGAAAGAAUCUCAGGUCCUCCAGUUUGACACAACUCUUUAUUGUUUCUUGGAUUUUGAAUGGCUAUGGAAAUAAUUCGAAAUACUGGGGCAGCCAGAGUAGCUGUGGCUAAAGACAAAGGAAGGGUUCCCUGUUCUGGUUCCAAACUAUCUUUAUGCACAUUGCUUAUUGCCAAAGGAAGUAAACACAUAGGACCUCCGUAGGCCAAGGCCCACAAAGCAUCCACUGGUCGCAUUCGAAUUGCAACAUGGACCUGUCCAAGUACCUCAGCUGGUCGUCGCAGCACGCCUGCAGAACCUGAAGGGGAAGCAUCUGGACAGAAACGCCCACUAAGCAAACUGGGGUGAUAGAGAAGGUGAAUGCACCCUCCAAUCUCAGCAUCCAGAAGUGAACUUUCCUUUGCCAUAGUUCGAACAUGGUCAUUAGUUGCAAGCCAAGGAAGUCCUGCUCCACUACCAAAAGUAGGUAGCACAUCCCCUCCUCUAGAUGCUAAACGUGCCAUCCUUUCUGGACCAAUUGGCUCCUUAAAGAUAUAAACAGGCCCCAUCUCAGCAAACAGAGGGCACUGACGACGUCUACGCUGUAAACCAGCAAUUGUGGGAGGGGGGUUUGUCCCAAUGCAACAAAAUGCAAGUGGCUUAGAGAUCCGAGGGAACUCAAAAGGGCGAGUUUCAUAUAAUGAUCCAUCAAUAUACAAUCUCAAUUCACUCUCUGCUUUACCUAGUAGCCCCGGCUUGCAGAUAUGCUCCAAACCAAUAAAAUACCAACAUUGUGGCUUGAAUGCAUGAGUAAAAUGCAAGGAAGCCUUCUUUCCCUUUCCACUACCACUUUCAACAACCAAAAACUGUGCGUGAAAGUAUGCCUCUACCCCAUGGUUAUCAGCUGAUAAGAAACUAAAAAGUCGUGGCAUGUGGGCUGUGCCUUCACCAGCAAGCGCACUGGCAGCAGCCGCAGCAGACAUGGCAGAUGAUUUUCCUGACUUGGCUGCUGCUGCUGCAGCAAUUGCAGCAGCUGCAGUAGCCGUGUUCAAUGUGUCUGCAAAUGAUUCAAUAUAGAUCCAUGUUGCAAAUGCAUAUCCAUUGGUAAAUGGCCAACGGCUCUCCCCUGGACCAAGCAAACCAGAGCUUUCACCAUCAAACUCAAAAGUAAAUGCUGGUCCCUUUGACUCCUUUCCACUCAUUGCCUUCUCCAGGGCAUGCAUUAAGCGAGAUGCCCAUGCAGUGGCAAGUGUUCUUGUAAUGACUUGAAGCCAUCUAUGCAAAUCAAUAACGUUCAGUGAAUGCCCUGCCAAGUGUUGAAUGCAGUGGCAUAAAGGACUUCCAUCCCAUCUCAACUGCAUUGUUGAAUCAACAUCCUCAACAAAGAUCUUCUCUGCUGAACACAAAAGAACACCUAACAGACCAGCCAUAGAGCACAUCUCUCUAUUUCUUGUGCAAGCCCGCAAUAUGGCACGUAAACCCCUUACCAUCCUCGUCCUAGGGGACAUGUAAAUCUCACUAUCGCCCACCCAAGGAAGCCAGGGAAUGAGCUCACCCGCCACAAUCGCUGCCCGAGAGUUCAGCAUCACACUAGGAGGAUUGUUGUCCCCAUCCUCAAAACUCUCAACUCCACCCAUGGUGGCCAGAAGCGAAUCAACAACCAAAUAAGCAAUGGUCUCUGCUUCCUCCCCAUUUUCAAAACUCUCAACUCCACUGACAGUGUUCUUCAGCUUGUCCAAGCUUUCAGGCUUUCCCAUGAUAGCAGAAUCCACUAAAUGCAAUAACUCUGGAGACACAUUUGGCAUAACAGCUUUUGGCUUAGGCCUUGGCGGUGAACCAAAGGCAGAAAAACCAACAUCUCCGAAGUAAGCAGAAUCAAGACUGGUUGAUGAAUACGAUGGUUUAAUUGUAGAACCAAACUGUCUCUCAGGCCCAGGGCUUGAUAUAGAGCGAUCAUGUCGAACUUCAGUCAGUGGAGGAGAACCAAGCUCAGCCCUAAAAGUCCCAGAUAAAUAUUUAGAGGCUUCAUAAAAUUCAUCAGAUAGUUGUGUCUCAUGCUCUGAAUUGGAUGAUCGGUUUGAAUCUGCAUGACCAAUCUGUACCCCAGCAGCUGCCUUUUCCUGAUCCUUCAAAGAUACCUGUUCAAACUGGUCUUCAUCCAUAACUGUAGCUCCAGAAUUAAGCCCUUGGGAAACUACAUUGUUAUUUCCUAUCUCCAUGUCACUACUACCAGUGAGAUUUACAUUUUCAUGAUGAGAAGUUCCGAUACUACCUUCUACAACACUAACUACCUCAGGAAUUCCUGGAUCCUUCCCAGAAAUUUCUCCAGUUUCUUUCUUUUCUUCCUCCUCUUCUGUUUCUCGUCCAAGGAAACGGUUGCCACCUUUACGGCUCAGAAGUGGUUCGUUGACUGAUAUCUGAAGCAAGCAGUAGUAACCCAUUUUCAUUAUUUUAUGUUUCUAUUAAUCUACGUAAUGCUUUUAUGUAACUAUUGUAUGAAUAGGAACCAGAGUCGCUGCCAAUGUCCAGAUCAUUCUAUAGCUUGGUUUUCUCUUUUCUCUACCGAUCUGAUUUCUUCUCAGUUGAAUAUUAACUUUUUCCUUUCUUUUCUUUUGGACCUUUUGGAAGCUUUAGCUUGUUUCACUUUGAGCAAAAUGUACAGAUCUUGAGUCUGAACUAAUAAUUUAGUUCAUUACAGAUAUAACUACUACUGACUAACUUCAGAAACAAGUAAAAAGAUUUCAAAGAUUCUUCU